GAUGAAGAACGUAGCGAAAUGCGAUACUUGGUGUGAAUUGCAGAAUCCCGUGAACCAUCGAGUCUUUGAACGCAAGUUGCGCCCGAAGCCGUCAGGCCGAGGGCACGCCUGCCUGGGCGUCACACGCCGUUGCCCCCCCGCGCCCCGCACCCAACGCUUUGGGAGCGACCGCGGGGCGGGCUGAUGAUGGCCUCCCGUGCGCUCCGCCGCGCGGUUGGCCCAAAUACCGAGUCCCCGGCGACGUGCGCCACGACGAUCGGUGGUUGAGAGACCUCUGUCGCAAGUCGUGCGCGCCCGUCGCAUCACGCGGGCUCGCAUAGCGCCUCGCGCCGCACCCGGUGCGGAGCUUUCAACGCGACCCCAGGUCAGGCGGGGUUACCCGCUGAAUUUAAGCAUAUCAAUAAGCGGAGGA
rnacentral:misc_RNA from 1 species